rnacentral:misc_RNA from 1 species
GAGAACCAAGAUAUCCAUUGUUAACAGUUGUUCGGUUUUUUUACCCAAUGUAUUACAUUGAGCUUCACAUUAAACUGUGGGGUUAUUAGGGGGCAUGGGGACCCUUUGGCAAAGCUCCUGCCCGAGUGUACGGUCUACAGGAAUCGUAGAAGCGCUAUCCUUGCACAAUCAAUGACACUUUCCGACACUGACUGCUUGGGGAAACAUUGCCUAUAGAACUACCGCUCGAUUGUAACUGUUCCAAUGUCGUAACAAGGUUUCCGUAGGUGAACCUGCGGAAGCAUCAUUAACACGUAUCCAAACGUUAAAACCCCCCCCCCGUGAACCUUCAUCCUGCUCUUGUAACCCGCGUAGUUCGCAAUCUCUGAUAAAUCAUAGCCCGGAAAGUUGUAGUGAUUCAGAGACCUCUGGCCUU